rnacentral:rRNA from 1 species
UGCCAGCCGCCGCGGUAAUACGGAGGGGGUUAGCGUUGUUCGGAAUUACUGGGCGUAAAGCGCACGUAGGCGGAUUAGUAAGUUAGGGGUGAAAGCCCGGGGCUCAACCCCGGAAGUGCAUUGGAAACUGGCGAACUUGAGUACGGGAGAGGAAAGUGGAAUUCCGAGUGUAGGGGUGAAAUCCGUAGAUAUUCGGAGGAACACCAGUGGCGAAGGCGGCUUUCUGGACCAAUACUGACGCUGAGAUGCGAAAGCGUGGGGAGCGAACAGGAUUAGAUA